UACGUAGGGGCCGAGCGUUGUCCGGAUUCAUUGGGCGUAAAGAGCGUGUAGGCGGCCGCUUAAGUCCUGCGUGAAAUCUCGGAGCUCAACUCCGAGCGGUCGUGGGAAACUGGGCGGCUAGAGUGCGGGAGAGGAGAGUGGAAUUCCUGGUGUAGCGGUGGAAUGCGCAGAUAUCAGGAAGAACACCCGUGGCGAAGGCGGUUCUCUGGGACGGUACUGACGCUGAGACGCGAAAGCGUGGGGAGCGAACAGG
rnacentral:rRNA from 1 species